ACUCUUCAACUCCCCAAUUUCUUGUAGAUUGUGUGGAAGUUUGGAUUUUGAAUGUUGCUGGCCCCUUGUGGGCGUAGCUCGUUCGUAAUACAUUAGCAUCUUUAAUUCGAACUCGGAUUGACUCAGUGUAAUAGACUAUUCGCUGAGGACACUUUGUAGCAAUACUUGGUGGCCGUGAUCAAUACAAGAGAAGCUUCUAAUCCCUCUAGUCAUCUUUGA
rnacentral:misc_RNA from 2 species